AUGAACGCUGGCGGCGUGCCUAAUACCUGCAAGUCGAGCGAACGGACGAGAAGCUUGCUUCUCUGAUGUUAGCGGCGGACGGGUGAGUAACACGUGGAUAACCUACCUAUAAGACUGGGGUAACUUCGGGAAACCGGAGCUAAUACCGGAUAAUAUUUUGAACCGCAUGGUUCAAAAGUGAAAGACGGUCUUGCUGUCACUUAUAGAUGGAUCCGCGCUGCAUUAGCUAGUUGGUAAGGUAACGGCUUACCAAGGCAACGAUGCAUAGCCGACCUGAGAGGGUGAUCGGCCACACUGGAACUGAGACACGGUCCAGACUCCUACGGGAGGCAGCAGUAGGGAAUCUUCCGCAAUGGGCGAAAGCCUGACGGAGCAACGCCGCGUGAGUGAUGAAGGUCUUCGGAUCGUAAAACUCUGUUAUUAGGGAAGAACAUAUGUGUAAGUAACUGUGCACAUCUUGACGGUACCUAAUCAGAAAGCCACGGCUAACUACGUG
rnacentral:rRNA from 1 species